AUUGAACGCUGGCGGCAGGCCUAACACAUGCAAGUCGAGCGGAGCGGCGGACGGGUGCGUAAUGCCUAGGAAUCUGCCUGGUCGUGGGGGGUAACGUCCGGAAACGGGCGCUAAUACCGCAUACUAUCAGAUGAGCCUUGGGCGGAUUAGCGAGUUGGGGGGGAAAAGGCCUACCAGGGCGACGAGCGGUACCUGGUCUGAGUGGAGGAUCGGUCACAUGGGAACGGAGACACGGCCCAGACUCCAACGGGAGGCAGCAGUGGGGAAUAUUGGACAUGGGGGGCAAGCCUGAUGCAGCCAUGCGGCGUGUAUGAAGCGGGCCUUAGGUUGGAAAAGUCUUUUCAUCGGGGAGGCGUUACCCGCAGAAGAAGCACCGGCUAACUACGUGCCAGCAGCCGCGGUAAUGC
rnacentral:rRNA from 1 species